UUUCGCAAUGCCCGAAAGGGUGACGAAGCGACGCCGCGUGGGUGAGGAAGGCCUUCGGGUUGUAAAGCCCUGUCAGGAGUUAAGAAAUGUAAGUGCGCUAAUAUCGCAUUUAUUUGACGAAGGCUCCAAAGGAAGUCACGGCUAACUCUGUGCCAGCAGCCGCGGUAAUACAGAGGUGGCAAGCGUUGUUCGGAAUUAUUGGGCGUAAAGAGCACGUAGGUGGGUUUGUAAGUCAGAUGUGAAAGCCUUCUGUUCAACGGAAGAAUUGCAUCUGAAACUGCGAGUCUUGAGUGUAGGAGGGGAGAAUGGAACUUCUGGUGGAGCGGUGAAAUGCGUAGAUAUCAGAAGGAACGCCGGCGGCGAAAGCGAUUCUCUGGCCUAUUACUGACACUCAGUGUGCGAAAGCUAGGGAAGCAAACGGGAUUAGAUACCCCGGUAGUCCUAGCCGUAAACGAUGGGCACUAAGUAGAGGGGUUUU
rnacentral:rRNA from 1 species